rnacentral:rRNA from 1 species
UGGACGAAAGUCUGACCGAGCAACGCCGCGUGAGUGAAGAAGGUUUUCGGAUCGUAAAGCUCUGUUGUAAGUCAAGAACGUGUGUGAGAGUGGAAAGUUCACACAGUGACGGUAGCUUACCAGAAAGGGACGGCUAACUACGUGCCAGCAGCCGCGGUAAUACGUAGGUCCCGAGCGUUGUCCGGAUUUAUUGGGCGUAAAGGGAGCGCAGGCGGUCAGGAAAGUCUGGAGUAAAAGGCUAUGGCUCAACCAUAGUGUGCUCUGGAAACUGUCUGACUUGAGUGCAGAAGGGGAGAGUGGAAUUCCAUGUGUAGCGGUGAAAUGCGUAGGAUAUAUGGAGGAACACCAGUGGCGAAAGCGGCUCUCUGGUCUGUCACUGACGCUGAGGCUCGAAAGCGUGGGUAGCGAACAGGAUUAGAUACCCUGGUAGUCCACGCCGUAAACGAUGAGUGCUAGGUGUUAGGCCCUUUCCGGGGCUUAGUGCCGGAGCUAACGCAAUAAGCACUCCGCCUGGGGAGUACGACCGCAAGGUUGAAACUCAAAGGAAUCGACGGGGGCCCGCACAAGCGGUGGAGCAUGUGGUUUAAUUC